AAGUCGUAACAAGGUUUCCGUAGGUGAACCUGCGGAAGGAUCAUUAACACGUAUCCAAACGUUAAACCCCCCUGUGAACCUUCAGUCGUACUCGUACGUCCGUUAGAAAAAGCAGCAAUCCCUGGUAAAUCAUCGCCGAACAGUUUUCGAUUCAGGGACGUCUGCAAGGAGCGUGCAUGUUGUGCGUGUAAGUGGCCUGGCAUCCCCAAGCAGUUAGUGUCUGAAAGUGUCACUAACGUUAGUGUCUGAAAGUGUGCAGUCACGAUCGUUGGAGGCCCACACGGCCGACGACCGGGUCACUGGGUGCAAGCCCCUUUAUCACACCCCUGCUCUAUCUAUGGUGAUCCUGCGGGAAGUCCUGCGGUCGAACGCCGAAACCGAACAACUGUUAACAAUGGAUAUCUUGGUUCUC
rnacentral:misc_RNA from 1 species